AUACUCUAUACUCCUGCUUAACACAAGUUGAGUAGGGAAAGUUUUUCGGUGUAGGAUGAGACUAUAUAGUAUCAGCUAGUUGGUAAGGUAAUGGCUUACCAAGGCUAUGACGCUUAACUGGUCUGAGAGGAUGAUCAGUCACACUGGAACUGAGACACGGUCCAGACUCCUACGGGAGGCAGCAGUAGGGAAUAUUGCGCAAUGGGGGAAACCCUGACGCAGCAACGCCGCGUGGAGGAUGACACUUUUCGGAGCGUAAACUCCUUUUCUUAGGGAAGAAUUCUGACGGUACCUAAGGAAUAAGCACCGGCUAACUCCGUGCCAGCAGCCGCGGUAAUACGGAGGGUGCAAGCGUUACUCGGAAUCACUGGGCGUAAAGGGCGCGUAGGCGGAUUAUCAAGUCUCUUGUGAAAUCUAAUGGCUUAACCAUUAAACUGCUUGGGAAACUGAUAGUCUAGAGUGAGGGAGAGGCAGAUGGAAUUGGUGGUGUAGGGGUAAAAUCCGUAGAUAUCACCAAGAAUACCCAUUGCGAAGGCGAUCUGCUGGAACUCAACUGACGCUAAGGCGCGAAAGCGUGGGGAGCAAACAGGAUUAGAUACCCUGGUAGUCCACGCCCUAAACGAUGUACACUAGUUGUUGGGGUGCUAGUCAUCUCAGUAAUGCAGCUAACGCAUUAAGUGUACCGCCUGGGGAGUACGGUCGCAAGAUUAAAACUCAAAGGAAUAGACGGGGACCCGCACAAGCGGUGGAGCAUGUGGUUUAAUUCGAAGAUACGCGAAGAACCUUACCUGGGCUUGAUAUCCUAAGAACCUUUUAGAGAUAAGAGGGUGCUAGCUUGCUAGAACUUAGAGACAGGUGCUGCACGGCUGUCGUCAGCUCGUGUCGUGAGAUGUUGGGUUAAGUCCCGCAACGAGCGCAACCCACGUAUUUAGUUGCUAACGGUUCGGCCGAGCACUCUAAAUAGACUGCCUUCGUAAGGAGGAGGAAGGUGUGGACGACGUCAAGUCAUCAUGGCCCUUAUGCCCAGGGCGACACACGUGCUACAAUGGCAUAUACAAUGAGACGCAAUACCGCGAGGUGGAGCAAAUCUAUAAAAUAUGUCCCAGUUCGGAUUGUUCUCUGCAACUCGAGAGCAUGAAGCCGGAAUCGCUAGUAAUCGUAGAUCAGCCAUGCUACGGUGAAUACGUUCCCGGGUCUUGUACUCACCGCCCGUCACACCAUGGGAGUUGAUUUCACUCGAAGCCGGAAUACUAAACUAGUUACCGUCCACAGUGGAAUCAGCGACUGGGGUGAAGUCGUAACAAGGUAACCGUAGGAGAACCUGCGGUUGGAUCACCUCCUUU
rnacentral:rRNA from 1 species